GAAAGUAAAAUUUCAUUUCGGUAUCUACGCGGCUGGUGGCGCAUCGUGUCGCGAGUGUUGUCGCGAUCUUGCUGUGCUGCACAGACGAAAUCGACCAAAAAUUCGAGCGAAUUUCGAAUUCCCCUUCGGUCCGGGAAAGGUUUUUCAAAGCGUGCGUGCGUUUCAAUGUGAAUGUGUGCGUGUGGGGAAAUGGGGGUUUUCCCGCAUAAAUUUGCACGGUCAAUGUGGUUCGGAAUGAAACCGGGCAAACACUAUACGGAGGAAGUGAUCGAGUGAUAGUGUGAACCAACGUGUGUCAAAUGCGAAUUAUGGUGUAGAAAGUGAAAAGUCAUAGGAGUGAGCGGACAUGUAACCAUAAACUAGGUUGCACAUGGGCUGUCAAAACGAGAUGAUCGAGCAAAAAUCCCGUUAUCACACACCGAAUGUCCCGAAUGUGAUUGUGUAGGUUAGUAGGUCAAACCGUGUCGCCUUGAGUUAGUAAAUCGCGUGUGUACACCUCCGAUCUAUAGUUGCUAGCUUCAAAAUUGUUUCAUUUGGGAUCGUUGGAAAAAUGUGACUAAGAAUGCACUUUAGUGCAUCAUUGCAAGUGUGGCAUGUUUAGUGCAUUAUGAAGUGGUGAUAAAUCGGUAUCGGUAUUCGAAGAAAGCAUCCUCGUAAAGUGCAGUAAAGUGUCAGCUGUGUGUCGUUCUUGUGUAAAAGUGGAGUGGCGUUCCGAAUGUCUGGAAUGUUUCAAUAAAAAUAAAGCAAAGAAGCAAAGAAAAAGAGAGGCAAAAUUUAUGUGAAAUGGUGAUCCCUUGGUGCAUAGAGCAUGUGCAUGUUUAUUUAUGUUGCAGUGAGAAUUUUUUUUUUAGUGUCCCAAAAGUGUUGGUGAGUGUUAGUGCAAGUAGUUGAUCGGUAGUGCGUUUGGGGUUUGGUUAAAAAUGUGCGUUUUUUUUGUUGGUGCGCCACGGGGUAUUGCUUUCUAUGUGAGAUGAAUCGUGCGUGAGUGUGUGUGUGUGUAUGUGUGUGUUCGUGAGUGUGGGCGUGUGUGUCAUCGUGCACUUUGUGUCCCGUGUCGUGGAGCCAAGAAGUAUUAACCAGACAUGUAAGCAUUCAUAACUGUGGAACUGGUUGGAAGCACAAUCUAUUUGUUGCACCCCGUGUUUUCUGCGCCUGUUCUGACGAUGGUGUAGACGCAUCCUGC